UACGUAGGGUGCGAGCGUUGUCCGGAAUUAUUGGGCGUAAAGAGCUCGUAGGCGGUUUGUUGCGUCGGCUGUGAAAUCCCGAGGCUCAACCUCGGGUCUGCAGUCGAUACGAGCAAACUAGAGUGUUGCAGGGGAGACUGGAAUUCCUGGUGUAGCGGUGAAAUGCGCAGAUAUCAGGAGGAACACCGGUGGCGAAGGCGGGUCUCUGGGCCGAUACUGACGCUGAGGAGCGAAAGCGUGGGGAGCGAACAGGAUAGAUACCCCUG
rnacentral:rRNA from 1 species